rnacentral:rRNA from 1 species
GGGGGAUAUUGCACAAUGGGGGAAACCCUGAUGCAGCGACGCCGCGUGGAGGAAGAAGGUUUUCGGAUUGUAAACUCCUGUCGUUAGGGACGAUAAUGACGGUACCUAACAAGAAAGCACCGGCUAACUACGUGCCAGCAGCCGCGGUAAAACGUAGGGUGCAAGCGUUGUCCGGAAUUACUGGGUGUAAAGGGAGCGCAGGCGGACCGGCAAGUUGGAAGUGAAAACUAUGGGCUCAACCCAUAAAUUGCUUUCAAAACUGCUGGCCUUGAGUAGUGCAGAGGUAGGUGGAAUUCCCGGUGUAGCGGUGGAAUGCGUAGAUAUCGGGAGGAACACCAGUGGCGAAGGCGACCUACUGGGCACCAACUGACGCUGAGGCUCGAAAGCGUGGGUAGCAAACAGGAUUAGAUACCCUGGUAGUCCAUGCCGUAAACGAUGAUUACUAGGUGUUGGAGGAUUGACCCCUUCAGUGCCGCAGUUAACACAAUAAGUAAUCCACCUGGGGAGUACGACCGCAAGGUUGAAACUCAAAGGAAUUGACGGGGGCCCGCACAAGCAGUGGAGUAUGUGGUUUAAUUCGAAGCAACGCGAAGAACCUUACCAGGUCUUGACAUCCGAUGCAUAGUGCAGAGAUGCAUGAAGUCCUUCGGGACAUCGAGACAGGUGGUGCAUGGUUGUCGUCAGCUCGUGUCGUGAGAUGUUGGGUUAAGUCCCGCAACGAGCGCAACCCUUAUUGCCAGUUACUACGCAAGAGGACUCUGGCGAGACUGCCGUUGACAAAACGGAGGAAGGUGGGGAUGACGUCAAAUCAUCAUGCCCUUUAUGACCUGGGCUACACACGUACUACAAUGGCGUUUAACAAAGAGAAGCAAGACCGCGAGGUGGAGCAAAACUCAAAAACAACGUCUCAGUUCAGAUUGCAGGCUGCAACUCGCCUGCAUGAAGUCGGAAUUGCUAGUAAUCGCGGAUCAGCAUGCCGCGGUGAAUACGUUCCCG